rnacentral:rRNA from 1 species
UACGGGGGGGGCAAGCGUUGUUCGGAAUUACUGGGCGUAAAGCGCGCGUAGGCGGCGAUACAAGUCAGAGGUGAAAUCCCGAGGCUCAACCCCGGAACUGCCUUUGAAACUGUAUUGCUAGAGUGUCGGAGGGGAUAGCGGAAUUGCUAAUGUAGAGGUGAAAUUCGUAGAUAUUAGCAGGAACACCGGUGGCGAAGGCGGCUAUCUGGACGACAACUGACGCUGAGGCGCGAAAGCGUGGGGAUCAAACAGG